CCCAGGCUCUGUGGAAAGAAGAAAGUGGAGUUUCUCUUUCUGCUUCCAGACUGGAGUUGGACUGCCACCAGCUGCCUCAAAGCUGCUGCCACCAUGGUUUCCCUACUGUAGCCUCAAACUAUGACUACUGGUCCAUAGUGUAUAUGGACCAUGUUUUCAAUUAUCCAGUCACCACUAAAGGCCAGAAGGCUCAAAGAGGAAGAUGUAGCCCAGCUUCCCUGGUGGGUGUUCCCAAUGCAGAUGAUCUGAGAUUAAAGAUGGCUCUUUCUACAGCAACUGAGAAAUUCAGUGAAAUCUC